UGAUUUUAUACUAUUGUGUUAAAAUUUUAUUUAUGUAGUUGGUGCAAUAUUAAUCACUUGGAUGUUACUUAUUACAAAAUAUAUUCCUUUUGUGCAUCUUUUUGAUGAAAUGCAGGUAAUCCUAAUUAUGUAUCACAGUGAUUUCAUAUUAAUGUAUAAUAAUAUUUUCUGUUUUAUUAAGAUUUUUGUGUAUUUGAUAGUUGUUUAUUUAGUCUUUUAUCAUGAAAGCUCAAAGAUAGAUUUUUUUUGUGGAAUCUUUUUUCUUCUUCAAUAUUCACUUUUUCUUUUUUCUCAAAAAAAUGGACUAGAGCAAAGGAAAGGUCUCAAGGCAUUGAGCCAGUAAAAUAGGAAUAUUUGCUGGUUGGAGUUGAAUUCGAAGGGAAAAGGCCUUGAUGCAUAUUUAGUAGAUGUUUGAUGUUAUGAUUUGGUUUAACUAAAUUUUUUAGAGAAAAAAUUCUGCUUUAUAUGCAAACUGGCUUCUUGAAACCUAGCUUAUUACUCUAAAGAUUUUGUGUCUACUACAGAAUAUUAAUAUUUAUUUUUUAGUAUCUAUUAAUUAAAAAAAAUCAGUUUAUAUUUCUAUGAAUUUUCUUAGACUUUAUAUUUGAUGGGCUGGUGUGGUUAAGAUAUAUGCAAUUCACUUGAAUAUUGGUGGACUUUAACUCAUUCCAAGUAUUGAUCUAUAAUAUUGAAUAAGAUGUAUAGCUUAUAAUCAAUUUUAUAUUUUUUUUUAAUAGAUAGUUACAUAGGUUGGUAACAUGAGGGUGAAUGCUACAAAUUUGAUUAAAGAAAGUAUCCCGAGCUACCCUCAAAAGAGUACUAAGAUCCGGGAGCACAAAGCAGGCGAUCGUAAGAGCAAUUGCUCAGGAGCUAUGUUCCACCAAAUACCGAAUCCAAACAUAGCACAUAGGCAUAUUAUAAAACGUGAGCCCUUCAGGAAUCGUAUGAUUGGAGUGCAGUAACGGGUCACUUGAAGAGUGCCUCCCGCGCAAUAAUUGGAACCCAUACUCUUAAUUAUUUAUUUAAACUGGAUAAUUUUAUUAUCCAUUUGUGUAGAUUGUUGAUGAAGCUGAAUUCUUUUUAUUUGGAACUGAUGACCUUACCCAAAUGACAUUUGGGUAUAGUGGAGAUGAUGUUGGAAAAUUUCUUUCCAUUUACCUAUCAAGCGGCAUUCUGCAGAGUGAUCCGUUCGAGGUUAGUUGUGUAACGUUUAUUUUCUCAUUGAGGACAUGUGAAAGAUGGUUCUUGAAAUUUUUUAACUAUUUCACAAUAAUAUUAAAUGUUCAACUAUUAAACUAAAUUUUGAAGACUCUUGCAGAGUUCUAA